AGGGCUUGACAUGCGGGUUGAAGCCGUGGAAACACGGCGCCCUUCGGGGCCCGCACAGGUGGUGCAUGGCUGUCGUCAGCUCGUGCCGUGAGGUGUUGCCUUAAGUGGCGCAACGAGCGCAACCCCUGUUCCUAGUUGCCAGCGGGUAAUGCCGGGAACUCUAGGGAGACUGCCGGUGCCAAACCGGAGGAAGGUGGGGAUGACGUGUCCUUGAUAGG
rnacentral:misc_RNA from 1 species